rnacentral:rRNA from 1 species
CCUACGGGAGGCAGCAGUAGGGAAUCUUUCACAAUGGGCGAAAGCCUGAUGGAGCAACGCCGCGUGCAGGAUGAAGGCCUUCGGGUUGUAAACUGCUUUUAUAAGCGAGAAAUAUGAUGGUAACUUAUGAAUAAGGAUCGUCUAACUACGUGCCAGCAGCCGCGGUCAUACGUAGGAUCCGAGCAUUAUCCGGAGUGACUGGGUGUAAAGAGUUGCGUAGGUGGCAUAAUAAGUAGCUAGUGAAAUCUGGUGGCUCAACCAUUCAGACUAUUAGCUAAACUGUUAAGCUCGAGACCGUUAGGGGUAACUGGAAUUUCUAGUGUAGGAGUGAAAUCCGUAGAUAUUAGAAGGAACACCAAUAGCGUAGGCAGGUUGCUGGGACGGUUCUGACACUAAGGCACGAAAGCGUAGGGAGCAAACGGGAUUAGAUACCCCUGUAGUC